rnacentral:rRNA from 1 species
UACGGAGGGUGCAAGCGUUGCUCGGAAUCAUUGGGCGUAAAGCGUACGCAGGCUGUUCGUUAAGUCGGGUGUGAAAGCCCGGGGCUCAACCCCGGAACUGCGCCCGAAACUGGCGAGCUUGAGUGCGGGAGAGGGAAGCGGAAUUCCUGGUGUAGAGGUGAAAUGCGUAGAUAUCUGGAGGAAUACCGGUGGCGAAGGCGGCAUCCUGGACCGACAUUGACGCUGAACGGCGAAAGCUAGGGGAGCAAACGGG